rnacentral:rRNA from 1 species
GAUGAACGCUGGCGGCGUGCUUAACACAUGCAAGUCGAACGAGGUCCAUGGAGCUUGCUCCGGACGACCUAGUGGCGAACGGGUGCGUAACACGUGAGAAACCUGCCCCGGACUCUGGGAUAACAGUUGGAAACGACUGCUAAUACCGGAUACCUCCGCUGAGUCGCAUGGCUCGGCGAAGAAAGGUCCGCCGGUCUGGGAGGGUCUCGCGGCCUAUCAGCUUGUUGGAGAGGUAACGGCUCACCAAGGCAUCGACGGGUAGCUGGUCUGAGAGGAUGAUCAGCCACACUGGAACUGAGACACGGUCCAGACUCCUACGGGAGGCAGCAGUGGGGAAUCUUGCACAAUGGGCGAAAGCCUGAUGCAGCAACGCCGCGUGCGGGAAGACGGCCCUAGGGUUGUAAACCGCUUUCAGGAGGGAAGAAAAUGACGGUACCUCCAGAAGAAGGUGCGGCCAACUACGUGCCAGCCGCCGCCGUAACAC